GACGUUAGCUGCAGAAGAAGCACCGGCUAACUCCGUGCCAGCAGCCGCGGUAAUACGGAGGGUGCGAGCGUUAAUCGGAAUUACUGGGCGUAAAGACGCAUGCAGGUGGUUUGUUAAGUUCAGAUGUGAAAGACCCGGGGCGUCAACCUCGGAAUAGCAUUUGUAAACUAGGCAGACUAGAGUACUGUAGAGGGGGGUAGGAAUUUCAGGUGUAGCGGUGAAAUAGCGUAGAGAUCUGAAGGAAUACCGGUGGCGAAGGCGGCCCCCUCGGACAGAUACUGACACUCAGAUGCGAAAGCGUGGGGAGCAAACAGGAUUAGAUACCCUGGUAG
rnacentral:rRNA from 1 species